rnacentral:rRNA from 1 species
AACGUAGGAGACAAACGUUAUCCGGAUUUACUGGGCGUAAAGGGCGUGUAGGUGGUUGUGUAAGUCUGGCGUGAAAUUUUUCGGCUUAACCGGGAAAGGUCGUCGGAUACUGCACAACUAGAGGACGGUAGAGGCGUGUGGAAUUCCGGGUGUAGUGGUGAAAUGCGUAGAGAUCCGGAGGAACGCCAGUGGCGAAGGCGACACGCUGGGCCGUACCUGACACUGAUGCGCGACAGCAUGGGGAGCAAACAGG